UUCUGUUGUAUAGGCGACUAUAUAUCAGCAGAAGGCAUUGGAUAUCAAUGAAAGAGAGCUGGGGCUUGACCAUCCAGAUACAAUGAAGAGCUAUGGGAAUCUAUCAGUAUUUUAUUAUCGCCUUCAGCAUAUUGAAUUGGCUCUGAAAUAUGUCAACCGUGCAUUGUUUCUUCUCCAUUUCACAUGUGGGCUUUCUCACCCAAAUACAGCAGCUACUUACAUAAAUGUAGCUAUGAUGGAAGAAGGCAUGGGAAAUGUUCAUGUUGCUCUCAGAUA